AUUGAACGCUGGCGGCAGGCCUAACACAUGCAAGUCGAGCGGAUGAAGGGAGCUUGCUCCUGGAUUCAGCGGCGGACGGGUGAGUAAUGCCUAGGAAUCUGCCUGGUAGUGGGGGAUAACGUCCGGAAACGGGCGCUAAUACCGCAUACGUCCUGAGGGAGAAAGUGGGGGAUCUUCGGACCUCACGCUAUCAGAUGAGCCUAGGUCGGAUUAGCUAGUUGGUGGGGUAAAGGCCUACCAAGGCGACGAUCCGUAACUGGUCUGAGAGGAUGAUCAGUCACACUGAAACUGAGACACGGUCCAGACUCCUACGGGAGGCAGCAGUGGGGAAUAUUGGACAAUGGGCGAAAGCCUGAUCCAGCCAUGCCGCGUGUGUGAAGAAGGUCUUCGGAUUAUAAAGCACUUUAAGUUGGGAGGAAGGGCAGUAAGUUAAUACCUUGCUGUUUUGACGUUACCAACAGAAUAAGCACCGGCUAACUUCGUG
rnacentral:rRNA from 1 species